rnacentral:rRNA from 1 species
UACGAAGGGGGCUAGCGUUGUUCGGAAUUACUGGGCGUAAAGCGUGCGUAGGCGGCUGCGCAAGUCGGUUGUGAAACCCCGGGGCUCAACCCCGGAACUGCAUCCGAUACUGCGUGGCUAGAGGUAGGUAGGGGAGAUCGGAAUUCCUGGUGUAGCGGUGAAAUGCGCAGAUAUCAGGAGGAACACCGGUGGCGAAGGCGGGUCUCUGGGCCGAUAUUGACGCUGAGGAGCGAAAGCGUGGGGAGCGAACAGG